GUGGCGGGGGCCGCCAGGGGUCGCCGCCGUCAGGCGAGGGCCGGGGCCGGGGCCGGGCCCGGAGCUGCCGUACUGCAGCCCCGCCUUAGCGGGUGCCCAUAGCGGGACGAGAGCUUGGCUGUGCGCCGGCGCUGUGUGCGCAGAAACGCGGCCCAAACCCUCUCCAGAUCGUACUGCGGACACCCGAGGUUGCCAGGCCGCGGGUCACAGAGGUCGUUUUCUCUCCGUUGGGCCCACAGGGCUCCAGGCAAACUGAAGCACGCAGAUAGCAUGAUGCCUCUGAAGUGGAAACAGAUUUGGAAAAGCUACAACGCCCGUUUCAUCCUUCAAGCUCAAUCACAGAACUGUUUGUGAAAGAAGACACUUUUCAUAACUUUUUUAACCCCACAUCAAGAGGCCUCCAGCACCAAUUCCACAGUUUUCUAAUAAACUCCUGAGGUCAGACACGUAUUACCUGAAGUUGCACCUUGACACUGAUGAGGAACAUCAAGUUUCUUUACUUUUUUUAAAAAAUAAAACAAUUUGUAGCGA